AACGAACGCUGGCGGCAGGCUUAACACAUGCAAGUCGAACGCAUCGCAAGAUGAGUGGCAGACGGGUGAGUAACGCGUGGGAAUCUACCCAGUUCUACGGAACAACAGUUGGAAACUGGAAUUAAUACCGCAUACGCCCUACGGGGGAAAGAUUUAUCGGGGAAGGAGUGGCCCGCGUUGGAUUAGCUAGUUGGUGGGGUAAAGGCCUACCAAGGCGACGAUCCAUAGCUGGUCUGAGAGGAUGAUCAGCCACAUUGGGACUGAGACACGGCCCAAACUCCUACGGGAGGCAGCAGUGGGGAAUAUUGGACAAUGGGCGCAAGCCUGAUCCAGCCAUGCCGCGUGAGUGAUGAAGGCCUUAGGGUUGUAAAGCUCUUUGACCGAUGAAGAUAAUGACGGUAGUCGGAGAAGAAGCCCCGGCUAACUCCGUGCCAGCAGCCGCCGUAAAAC
rnacentral:rRNA from 1 species